GCCUACGGGGGGCAGCAGUAGGGAAUCUUCCACAAUGGGCGAAAGCCUGAUGGAGCAACGCCGCGUGGGUGAAGAAGGUCUUCGGAUCGUAAAACCCUGUUGUUGGAGAAGAAAGUGCGUGAGAGUAACUGUUCACGUUUCGACGGUAUCUAACCAGAAAGCCACGGCUAACUACGUGCCAGCAGCCGCGGUAAUACGUAGGUGGCAAGCGUUAUCCGGAUUUAUUGGGCGUAAAGGGAACGCAGGCGGUCUUUUAAGUCUGAUGUGAACGCCUUCGGCUUAACCGGAGUAGUGCAUUGGAAACU
rnacentral:rRNA from 1 species